rnacentral:tRNA from 1 species
GGGCGGUUAGUUCAGGGGGAGAACGCUUCGUUGACACCGAAGAGGUCACUAGUUCAAUUCUAGUACCGCCCACCA